GUCAGUUUCAGACCUCGGACCCUCCACCCUCCUCCUCCACCGACUCCCCACUGAAUCUGCUCAUUACUGGGAACAAUGAAUGAGAAGGAGGAAAAAGAAAAAGAGACCCGGCGGGAAAAAUACAGAAUUUGAGGAGUUCAACGCUGCCUCUGGUGCUUCAUGAAAACAUUUUUCUUACUGCUCGUGCUCUCACUGACUGUACCCUCCGGCUCCGGCCUGUGGAGGACCUGCUAUUCAUUCACCACACACAAGGUCGCCAGCGAAAACAGCCGGCGCUCCUCGAGAACAAAGACGGCUAUCUGCAUCCAUCAGGCAGCGUGUUGCAAGAACGGGUGACACGGAGCAGCGAAGAGAGGGAGGAACCGAGGCUCCCGGUGUACUGACAGGACAAUUAGAGGGAGCAAAUCUGCUAUCGGAGCUAAAUAUUCCA